GAAGGUGUGAUUUUUGGACUUGUUGGUGAAUAUGCUUGUGAAGGGCUAUACCUUGCUGAAGGAUUGUAACUUGGUGAGGUUGGACUGUAAGUUGGUGAGGUGGGACUGUAUCCAGGCGAAGUUGGGCUGUAGGCAGGUGAGGUUGGGCUAUAUGAUGGCGAGGUUGGGCUGUACGAUGGAGAGGUUGGGCUAUAUGAAGGUGAGGUUGGGCUGUAAGAUGGAGAGGUUGGGCUGUAAGAGGGUGAGGUAGGGCUGUAAGAGGGUGAUGUGGGGCUGUAAGACGGAGACGUGGGGCUGUAAGCCGGAGAGGUUGGGCUAUACGCAGGUGAGGUUGGGCUGUAUGCUGGAGAAGUUGGGCUGUAGCUCGGAGAUGUAGGGCUGUAGCUCGGAGAUGUGGGGCUAUAGCUAGGAGAUGUUGGGCUGUAGGAAGGAGACGUUGGUGAAUAAGAUGGGCUUGUGGGAGAAUACGCAGGGCUUGUAGGACUAUAUCCAGGAGAACUAGGACUAUAUGUUGGGGACGUAGGGCUGUAACCAGGGGAAGUAGGACUGUACCCAGGUGAGGUGGGGCUGUAUCCAGGAGAUGACGGGCUGUAUCCAGGAGAUGAAGGGCUGUACCCUGGAGAUGAUGUAGGAGAAAACGCCAUCCCGCCCACAUACGGAGAAAACUGAGCAUCUGAAACAGGAGAUAACCGAAGAUUUGGGCUCAGCAUAUAAUUUGGUGACAUCAUGCCAUCAUGAUAUGGGGUCCCUGAGAUGGGUGAACGGCCAGGAGUCAUGCCAAACUCCAGUCCACCUUCCAUAUAACUGGGCAGAGGGAUCUCAAUAGCUUGUUUAGCAUCUCUUCAUUCAUAUACAAAGCACAAUCACCUGUGCCAAUAGGUGCAAGCUGUCCUAACAUGAUAUUCUCAGUUACACCCCUGAGGUAAUCUGUUUCUGCAUACACAGCAGCAUCAAGAAGAAUGUCCACUGUUUCUUCAAAGGAGCAUCUCAUCAUGGGGCCAGUAUCGUUGCGAUUGAUACCAUGACGGGUGAUGGCCAUCAAGUGACCACGAUAUGUCAUGGUAUCACACAAUAUAGCCAAAUGUCUAUAGUUCACGUAAGACCCAUCAAAUGAUAUGACAACACGCAACUCAUCCAGCAAGGCUUUGCGAACUGCCUCAAUGCCAAGAACUUCAAUAACUUCAAUCAAAUGAUUGCUUGUUGUCCUACUUGCAUCUACAUCUUCAUGGCAAAUUACAGCUAAAAGAUUAACACCUUCGGUGUCAAGCAUCCACUCAUUCUCAGCCUUGAAGCCUUCAUUUUCAUCAAACUUAUUUACCUUGCCAUUCUUUAUGAACACCUUAUUGAUAUCUGGUAUGCCUCGAAGAGCCAUUUCUGUAAGCAUGUUACCCUCAAUCUUUUUGAGGAAGACAUCAUCCUCAGCAGAUUCAUCAUUCAACUCACCUUUAGGGGCUUCAUCAUUCAUAAUACGAAUACGAAGGAUAAGCUUUUCAGCAUUAUCAUCAUUAAAUAUGCACGUUAGAUCACUAUCAAAUUCAGCAUUAAUCUUAUGGGAAAUAUCAGCCAUGUUGAGUUUCUUAUCCACCAUCAUUUCUCUGUUUAACUCUAUGCGAAGCAACCACGGAGAGAUCUUGUCGGGGUCAACAUCAUCAUCUGGCAUCUCAAAGUAGGACGUCACAAAUUCAACAUCUUCCUCAAUAAUAGUGCUCUUAGGAUCUGGAUCGUACCAUACCUCUGUUGCUUGUGUUACACUCCGCAAGGUUGUAUACUCCAGAGCGCACUGGACAUUUUUGGCCUUCUCCUUAGUUUUGCUUACACCAGGCUUCAAGUAUACCGAGAGNAGGUAAUCUGUUUCUGCAUACACAGCAGCAUCAAGAAGAAUGUCCACUGUUCUCAAAGGAGCAUCUCAUCAUGGGGCCAGUAUCGUUGCGAUUGAUACCAUGACGGGUGAUGGCCAUCAAGUGACCACGAUAUGUCAUGGUAUCACACAAUAUAGCCAAAAUGUCUAUAGUUCACGUAAGACCCAUCAAAUGAUAUGACAACACGCAACUCAUCCAGCAAGGCUUUGCGAACUGCCUCAAUGCCAAGAACUUCAAUAACUUCAAUCAAAUGAUUGCUUGUUGUCCUACUUGCAUCUACAUCUUCAUGGCAAAUUACAGCUAAAAGAUUAACACCUUCGGUGUCAAGCAUCCACUCAUUCUCAGCCUUGAAGCCUUCAUUUUCAUCAAACUUAUUUACCUUGCCAUUCUUUAUGAACACCUUAUUGAUAUCUGGUAUGCCUCGAAGAGCCAUUUCUGUAAGCAUGUUACCCUCUAAUCUUUUUGUAGGAAGACAUCAUCCUCAGCAGAUUCAUCAUUCAACUCACCUUUAGGGGCUUCAUCAUUCAUAAUACGAAUACGAAGGAUAAGCUUUUCAGCAUUAUCAUCAUUAAAUAUGCACGUUAGAUCACUAUCAAAUUCAGCAUUAAUCUUAUGGGAAAUAUCAGCCAUGUUGAGUUUCUUAUCCACCAUCAUUUCUCUGUUUAACUCUAUGCGAAGCAACCACGGAGAGAUCUUGUCGGGGUCAACAUCAUCAUCUGGCAUCUCAAAGUAGGACGUCACAAAUUCAACAUCUUCCUCAAUAAUAGUGCUCUUAGGAUCUGGAUCGUACCAUACCUCUGUUGCUUGUGUUACACUCCGCAAGGUUGUAUACUCCAGAGCGCACUGGACAUUUUUGGCCUUCUCCUUAGUUUUGCUUACACCAGGCUUCAAGUAUACCGAGAGAGAGGGUGUUUUAAUUUUCUUAGCAACAUUAAUAAUCUCCCUCAACCUUGGAACACCUAAAGUUAACAAUUCUUGGCACUCACACCAGCAUAGUGAAAUGUAUUGAGGGUCAUCUGUGUAGCAGGUUCACCAAUGGAUUGUGCAGCAACACAUCCUAUCAUUUCACCAGCAGCAACAAGUGACUGAAGAAAACGGGAUUCUAUCUCGCCAACUACCCAGUCAAAAGCCUCACGGGUAAGUCUGUACUCCUUCAGGACCCUUUUACUUGCUAAAGCACUACGAAGCAAUAUAUUGAAGAAAAGAGUAGCAUUCUUCUGUGCUUCCAAACUCAGAUAAUCAUCACCAACAACCACCUUAAGCCUUUCUUGUAACUUAUCAACAGCUUCUACAAUCUCCAUUGGAUGCAUAUCAGACGGUCUCCGAAAAUCAACUCUAAAGGUCUUCUGUGCAUUCAAAACAAGCCUCUUGAUGUUGACAGGGAGGGGCCAAGAAUUGUCACCCGUGGUGGCAAUCUCUGUUCCAAGUUGAUACCUAUCGGCUUCAAGUUUCUGAACCUCUGCAUCAAACACACUGCGGAUUUCACGAAUCGUUUUCAGAUCUUCCACAGCUUCAGGUAACAUAUAAUUAGGAUUCCAGUUUGGGUGAUCAAUCUCAUAUUUGUACAUGUCAUUGAAAUCCGAUCUCUUCAACUUCAGUGAUUCCAAAGGCUGUGAUUCAAUCCAAACUGCAUCCAUACCAUCUUCCCCGUACAGAAACUGAAUCACAUCACCUAACGAAUUCCUAACAGUCCCAUCAUACUUAACCAUGAUAUCUUCCAUAGCCUUCACCAAUCGCCUCUGAAUAUAUCCAGUCUCAGAAGUUUUCACUGCAGUGUCAAUAAGACCUUCCCUACCACCCAUGGCAUGGAAAAAGAACUCUUGAGGAGACAAUCCUCGAAGAUAUGAGUUCUCCACAAAACCACGACUCUCUGGACCAUAAUCAUCUUUGGUGAAGUGUGGAAGUGUGCGAUCCACAAAACCAAAAGGAAUUCGCUUGCCUUCAACAUUCUGCUGACCCACACAUGCAGUCAUCUGAGAAAUAUUGAUGAAACUUCCCUUAGACCCUGCAGUGACCAUAGCUUUGAGGUUGUUACUUUCUGCCAAGCUCUUCUGAGCACUGCUUCCAGCAUCAUCACGAGCCUUAUUCAACACCUGAAGGCACAAAACAUAUAUAAGGGAAUCACCAGGCUGCAGCAAGGAAAUCAAAAUUUUUAACAAACCUGGUUAACUCUGUUCUCGAACGAUUCCAUCAUUGUUCUUCCUGGCUCAGCUUCCAAUUGCUUUUCUUGUGCAGCCCUGAUAAGUUCAUUCACCUCAUUCUUAGCUUUGUUAAUAGUUUCAGAGAUCUUCGUCAUUGUAUCAUGAUCAGCAAUUGUAUCUCCAAUUCCCAUGCUAAAAGCGUUCUGCAAAAGCCAAUAAUUGACCAGCCAUUGUGUAUGUCCCAAAAAUUUCCGAGCUGCAUCUGGACCGACUUCUUCCCUGAGACCAGUAUACAUUAUAUUAAACACAUAAAUAUGAAUAAAGAAUCUUUCGGGCUUUCAGUUCAUUAUUAUAAUAUUUAUUACUCCUUGUUUCAUGUGCCAUAUCAUAUGUUUUGAUGUCACAAAUGCUAUAAUAUUCACACAGAAGAGCUACUAGAGUGGAGGAAGACUGAUAUAUGCAAAAGCUAAAUUGUUAAAGAGUACAGAAAUUUUCAAUAAGAUACUCAUGUAGUUUUAAACUUCUGAAGAAAAUUAAUCUUCUCUUCUACAAAUUCCGAUGGAGUAAGCAAAGGAACACUUUCUUGAAAUGGCAUUAGUUUUAUUGAUAUCUAUAAUGAGUGCAAGCAUGGAGAUUGAUAAAGUGUUUUGUCUGCAAAGAAACAGUACCCAUUUUUUUGUGCCAAAAGGAGAAUCUUUUUGCUAGUGAAAAGAGAGGGUAUUUCAUUGGUAACUCAAGCAAGUUCUUUUGAAAGUAUUACUUCUUCAAUCAACAUAUUGCGAGUUCUGACUCAUUUGCGAGAUCCUAGAAUAUAUAAAUAAAAGACACCAACUUCAUUUAAAGUAUUUGCAUACAUAUGCUCCCAAUCCCCAUUGCCCAUAGAGCAAUGGACCAAUUUAAUACAACAUGAAUUCUUCAGAAGAUAAAAGUGAAAGUCAUGCUUUUGCUCUUAAAUUUAAGGUUGAACGAAAAAUGUGACCCGCAAACAGCCCCAUACCUCCAUUUUACCCAACUUUCCACUUAUUACAUUUUGCUACUAGAUACUUCAGGUAUGUUACCCGCAAUCAGCCCCAAUUCAUAAUAUGGAUAAGUUGGGUGGGCGUUUAGGAGACAAUAGUUUCCUUUCAAAACCCACCAAAUGCAGAAAUGGUACUGCAAAAAUUCCAGAAAGAACGUACCAAAUAACAUGUAUGAGACUUCCACUAGAUGACCCGAGUGUUUUCUUGCAUAGGGUGCCUGAAAGUAACUCCCCUUUUUCUAUCCGUACUUGAGUAUCCCCAGGAGUAAUAAAUCCUUUUUCAGUUUCUUGAUGCCAUGAAGAAUACCUUAAUAGAUUUAUCUGUCUUGGAAUGAUUAAAUUAAAUACUUGUUUCCCAGUCCAAAGAGGCUUAGGUUUCAGAAUUGUUGGAGCAGGUACUUUGCCAUCAAAAUCCUCCCACCACAUAAGGAUGUUCAUAAAAACAUCCUGCGAACAAUACAGACAGCGAUAUCAGAUUGAAUGUGGACACUUACCUAAAAAUUACAUAAUGAUGACAGAAAAUCAAAUGUUACCUUGUCAAUAAAAGUAUCUCUCUUAGUGAUUUUGCGACAUCCUAGUAGUGUAUCCUGCACAAUACCCAUUACAGGUCGAUUUGAUUGAGGUGACACGAUGCAUUUUGGAACCAUCAUUAAUUCCAGAACUUCGGCUCUAGUUUCAAAUGACUGGGGCACGUGCAUAUUCAUUUCAUCUCCAUCAAAAUCAGCAUUGUAGGGUGAGGUAACAGACAGAUUUAAGCGGAAUGUUGAAUAUGGCAUAAUCUUGAUUCUGUGGCCCAUAAUGGACAUCUUAUGGAGACUCGGUUGCCGAUUGAACAGGACAAAGUCUCCAUCAUUUAAAUGUCUCUCAACCUGUACCAUCAAAUAAUAGGAAUCAGGUGUCAAAAGGAAUCCAAUGCUUGAUCAUUCUCAAUUAUAUAGCUGGGAGUCUCACCUUAUAUCCAAGUUCUAGAUGCUGAUCACUACUCUUUUUCAAGUACCGGAGAUCAAGCCUCUGUCCAUCAUCCCUAAUAAUAUAUUUUGCGCCAGUUUUACCAGGAGGGGGAUGAGGUCCAUAUUCCACAAGCUCUUUCAAUCUAUUUUCAAGGUCAAUAUCUGGUUAACAAGAAUAACCAAAAAGUAUAGAGGGAUCACUAUCAAGAAAUAUGGUAAGAGUGCCUAACCUUUCGAUGUUAUAUGGAGUUACAGUUUCAGGAUAUGUAAGAUUUAAGGCAAUACUCCAAGGCACACCCAGCUGGUCGAUGUUGAUUGUUGGGUCAGGUGUAAUCACAGUCCGAGCCGAAAAAUCUACUCGCUUACCCAUCAAGUUACCUCUGAUCCUACCAUCUUUUGCCUUAAGCCUGCUACAUAUUGAUUUAAUGGGUCUGCCAGAUCUUUGGGUAGCCUGAUGUAUACAAGGAUACUUCACUUGUUAGAUAAAUGAUGUUCCAGGAACUGCAUCCACAGUCUCAAUAUACUGAAAUAAUAUAACAUACUCUUGGUUGACCAGGUAAAUCGUUAUCAAAGUAUGUAGCCACAUGGAACUGCAGCAACUGUGCAAACUCAGAGAUGAUGUGUGCAGGAGCCCCAUUCCGCUCCUGCCUCUUUAAGUUCUCAUUAUGCCUAAUGAUCAUGGCCAGUUGAUGAGUUAAAUCAUCCUGCAUAAAUUGAUUCAAUUAUUAGAUUCUCCUGCAACUUAAAAGCAGCAAUCCGAGGAACAUGCAAUUGAUUGACUUGAUCAGUUUGCAGUGAACAGAACCCGAUACACUUAUCUGACCUAAAGGAACAAUUAGGGGUAAUCUAAACACCCAUGACAUUGUAGAGAUCAAAAGGAGAAGUCAUGCCUCACUCCGAGAAGAAGUAUCCAUCAUUACAGAAGGCCUAACUGGAGGAGGAGGGAUUGGAAGAACUUGAAGAAUCAUCCAGUCAGGGCGAGCAUAUUUUGGAUUCAAGCCCAACAACUGACAAUCUUCAUCAGUAAUUCUCUUCAGUAUGCUGAGCACCUGAAACAAAAAGGAAAUAGAGAUUGUUGGGAUUAGCGCAUAAAUCAAUCUAUCACAUUAUCCAGGCUGGAAAAAAAAGUUUGAAUCCCUAUUCUCUGGCAAUUUAUGAUAUAUGAUACCUUCUCUGCAGAGAGAAGUUGUUUUCGUUCAACAGGUUCAGGCAUCUGGUCCUGGUCAUCACUUUUCUUCUUCUGAAUCUUGUAUUCAGCAACCAUUUUCAUCCCAUCUAUAGAAAUCUUUGGCUGCUGAGCACCGCAUCCACCCCUAGACUUCUUCACAGGUUCUUCCGAAUCUUGACCUCGCACAUCGAUCUCAUCACCUCCUUCACAUUUGGAUUUGUUUUUGCAGGCAUCUAAUAUCUUCUUUAAUCUAUUCUUAGGGUUUCUAAUUCUCAUUGCUUGCUUGAACUUGGGAUCGUCCUAGAAAAAUUAACAAGGGAUCAAAAUACAUUGCAAAAGAAAACGAUUGUUCCAACUUCCAAGUAACUUUAUUUCCAUUUGAAGUAUAAUAUUCAGGCAAUAAUGAAAAUAACUAACUUUUACAACAGCAACACUCCUAGGAGAUGCAUCCAGAUGAUGAAAUACCUCAAACUGCUUCUAUCUUACCAAUAUGCAUUUCUAUAAAAGUAACACAAUUAUUGAAGACAUAACAGAACCUAGAAGCCUAAAACUGGAUCGUUGCUAGUCAUAAGUCUUACUAUCCAGUCACUCUUGCAAGUAAUAAGAAUGUUACAAUUAAAUCAGUUGCCCAGUUCAGGAUGGUCAUGAAUAAGACAGAAGUCUGACCCUCCUAGUAUACGAACAUAUACAUGAAAUAAGCAUUUUCCGUGAAUCCAGCAUAUGUUAUACACUUCUGAAAAAUUCAGUCUGCUACUCAGGCCUCACAACAGCGGAAUCAAUAGUCAUACCCAAUAUGAACCAAGUGAGCAUGACUGUACAAAUUCAUACUACUUAAACCGAAAACGUCCAUAACUUCAAUCUAACUACUCGGGAAAUGUACAAUACCUCAUCCGCUAAAAUCUUAGAGCAAUUGAAGCAGACACUGCGGAGAAUACUGAGCACAGUCUUCAUGAAGCCAAUGUGAAACAUAGGUUUGGCGAGCUCAAGGUGACCGAAGUGACCGGGGCAGUCAGCCAUGUUCGCCAUACAAGUCUCGCACUUCAUCUUCCGAUCAAUCGUCCCCAGACGCGGGUCGCUCAAACCACCGAUCUUCGGCUUGCCUCUUUCCGUCGUCUCGCUGUGCUCUAUAUGCACAACAGACAUUUGUCUCUACAAAACACACCAUAAAACAAUAGACCAUCAUUUCCAACUCAAUCACACACUCAAUGCCGAAACUGAAAGUUCAAAACAUUCAAAGAAGUGAGAAUUACGAUCUCAUCGGGGCUGAGAAUGCCGAAUUGGACGACGCGGACUUUCGCGACCUCUGCCGGCGAGAAGGGGAACCGCAGAUCCAUUGCGACACCGGAGAUUCUACCCUAGGGUUUUCGAUUAUGAUUUAUUAUGCUAGCUGAUAUAUAAUAAUUCCAAAAUUAGAAACAAAUAUGGUUUUCAAGUACUUCAAAUUAUUCGCGGUUUCUGUUAAGUAACUGAUUUUUGGGGUUUUUGAAGAAAACUUUUUUCACGCUGCGCUCUUCUCUGAAGGAGGAGAGGCGGCUUUGAGACCAAAGAAGAGAAUGAGGGGUUGAAGGGGUAUUUAAAGAGAUGGAUGGCUUCGAAGUCGGCGCUUAAUGGGGUUGUUUGGCUACACAGUUAUGAGCUGGACAUCUUCCUCUCGUUUGGUCCAUCUAUUAAAAAAUCUUCUUAAUCUAUUUUUAAACAUAAUUUCAUCAACUAUUAUCCUUAUAAUUUUCAUUUUUUGUAAGACUCAUUUUUCACUUAUCAAGUAUACAAUUAAUUUUUAUUAAAAUUCAUGUCACCCUCCUUUAUAAAGAUCUUUGAGAAAUGAAGGGAGUGUUAAUUCCAAAUAUUUGGUAAAAUAAGUACAUAAAUACUCAUUUCGUCCCAACUUUUAGUAUCAAUUUAAGAAUGACACGUGUUUUAAUAAAGUUGUUAAGUGUGUUGUGAGUGGAAUAAGGGUCUCGCAUUUUACGUGAAUGUUAAAAUAAUUAAAGUGGAGUAAGGGUCUCACCUACUUUUACUAAAAAUAAAAAUGAAUAUCAAAAUAUGGAACGGCCAAAAAAGGAAAUAUGAAUACUAAAAGUUGGGACGAAGAUAGUAGUUUACAAGCUCUACAAAUAAGUUUCUACAAUUUAUAAGCUUUUCAAACUACAAACUUUUUACCAUAAAUUACUUUUUCAUAAUUUUAUACUUCCUUCAUCCCAAUUCNCUUAUAAUUUUUCAUUUUUUUGUAAGACUCAUUUUUUCACUUAUCAAGUAUACAAUUAAUUUUUAUUAAAAUUCAUGUCACCCUCCUUUAUAAAGAUCUUUGAGAAAUGAAGGGAGUGUUAAUUCCAAAUAUUUGGUAAAAUAAGUACAUAAAUACUCAUUUCGUCCCAACUUUUAGUAUCAAUUUAAGAAUGACACGUGUUUUAAUAAAGUUGUUAAGUGUGUUGUGAGUGGAAUAAGGGUCUCGCAUUUUACGUGAAUGUUAAAAUAAUUAAAGUGGAGUAAGGGUCUCACCUACUUUUACUAAAAAUAAAAAUGAAUAUCAAAAUAUGGAACGGCCAAAAAAGGAAAUAUGAAUACUAAAAGUUGGGACGAAGAUAGUAGUUUACAAGCUCUACAAAUAAGUUUCUACAAUUUAUAAGCUUUUCAAACUACAAACUUUUUACCAUAAAUUACUUUUUCAUAAUUUUAUACUUCCUUCAUCCCAAUUCAAUAGGCCACAAGACAAGGCUUGGACAUGGAUAUUAAGAAGCGAAUAGUUUAUAAUAAAAUACGAGAGAGAAAGUAGCUUUUUUUAGAGUAAAUUUGUGAAAAAAGUAGGAGAGAGUAGAGAUAAUUUUGUGGGAUCACAAUGAUAUUUGAUGUACAUAAUGAGUUGUGCGAAGGUGUUUGUUAUAUACUAUGAUUUUUUAUUUUAGGAAGUGACCUAUUGAAUUGGAACGUCCAAAUAAGGAUUCAUGACAUAUUUAAAUGGAACUGAGGGAGUAAUAUAUUUUACAAAAAUUAUUCAAUUAUACUUUAUUACUAUUUUCAUCAUAUACACUUUAAACCACUUUGCAAAAAUUAACUCAAUCAUAUAAAUACUUUCACAACUUAUAAGCUCUUACAAAAAUACAUUUUUAAAAUUUUUGAAACAUUUUAUAAAUUGCUACAAUUAUAAAUUUCUUAAAAUAAGCUUAUCCAAACAUCCCCUUAAUUCUACAACAAAAUUUUAACAAAUGGAGUAUAAAUGAGCUAUGAUUGGUAACAUAUUUUUCCUACAAAAAUAAUAAGCGAUAGGUAACAUAACUAGCGUGGGAACUAAGAAUCAAUCUGGUCUAUUAAUUUGAUUAAAUGAUCAUGAUUGAUUUCCAUAUUGAACAAUACAUAUAUAUGAUAAUGCAUCAGUUUAUGCCAGAAAUUAUGCCAUGCUGAUAAAUAAUACUCCAUUCGUCCCAAACGAAAUGUCCUAUUUCUUUUCGGUACGGAAAUUAAGAAAUGUGUAUAAAAUAGAUUAAGUGGGUUGGUGAAAAUUAUUUAAAUAUUAAGUAUAGAGAGAGAGUGUAGUGCCAAAAAAGGAAACAUGACAUUUCGUUUGAGAUAGCCCAAAAAGGAAAACAGUACAUUUCGUUUGGAACGGAGGGAGUAUAGUGCAUACUUAUAAUAAACAACGUAGUUUUAAGUGUGGUGCCCACUUCGGGGGAGCUUGUUGGAUUUAUAAUAAACGACGUAGUUUUCAUAUAUACAAAAAAUCCUCUUCCAUUGAGAUGGUUUCUUACAUUCUUGGCUUCAGCUGCGCAUGGCUUAUCUAUGCAUGCAUUAUUUUAGUUAUAAGCAAUUUAGUAAAUAAAAUAACAAAAUGGAUGGAUUAACAUUGCCACAAAACAUGAUGACACUAUUAGUAUUUUACUUCAAAGGGGAAGAAAAAAAAACUUUAUACGAAUGAAAGAAUGCCAUGUUAAACAAUCUCUCUUAGCCAAAUUGGAAAGCUAUGAGACCAAACAAAUGGACUACAAAUUAAAAAAGAGGUUAUAAAGUGACACGGGACUUAUACGCCACGUGCGGAGUUCAGCUGCCCGACUGCCGGAGUUCAGCUGCCCGACUGCCGGCCUGGUAUGAAAAUGAUUGGGUUAGGGUAGGGUGUCCCAUGCAACAAAUCCUCAUUCCACCUUCCCUUUGUCAGUUUCAUUUACCACACUAAGCCAUGUAAACAAUACCAACACAAUCACAAAAUCAGCAAAUCUAUUCGAACUCGCUUGGCCUAUGGUGAAAGCAGGAUGGAAAAGAAAGCAAAAUAAGCAAAGGUAAAUAUACCUGCUUGGACUGGAAGGAGAAAAAGAUGGUGAUGUUGGGCUGCAAAACCACAGAAAAUAAUAUGUCAAGGUAGCAUUUGAAAGAGAGUUUCACCAGUUCAGAAUAUAUCCUAGUCUUGUCGGGGAAAUAAAACAAAAAGAGUAAUACUCUAGGGAACAAUUUAUCCAGCUUCCUCUGUGGACAAUCAAGUAUAGAAACAGAGUAAUACAUUUAACCAAGGUUAUAUUUGUUAGCAAACUUGAAGAGCAAAAAUUAAAAUAAGGCUUGCCAAAAGUUACCUGAGACUCGGAGAAUAUGGACUGUACGGACUUGAAGGUGUGAUUUUUGGACUUGUAGGUGAAUAUGCUUGUGAAGGGCUAUACCUUGCUGAAGGAUUGUAACUUGGUGAGGUCAGACUGUAAGUCGGUGAGGUGGGACUGUAUCCAGGUGAAGUUGGGCUGUAGGCAGGAGAGGUAGGGCUGUAUGAAGGUGAGGUUGGGCUGUACGAUGGAGAGGUUGGGCUGUAAGAUGGUGAGGUUGGGCUGUAAGAGGGAGACGUGGGGCUGUAAGCCGGAGAAGUUGGGUUAUAAGCAGGUGAGGUUGGGCUGUAAGAGGGAGACGUGGGGCUGUAAGCCGGAGAAGUUGGGCUAUACGCAG
rnacentral:lncRNA from 1 species